UACGUAGGGUGCGAGCGUUGUCCGGAAUUAUUGGGCGUAAAGGGCUCGUAGGCGGUCUGUCACGUCGGGAGUGAAAACACGGGGCUUAACCCCGUGCCUGCUUCCGAUACGGGCAGACUAGAGGUAUGCAGGGGAGAACGGAAUUCCUGGUGUAGCGGUGAAAUGCGCAGAUAUCAGGAGGAACACCGGUGGCGAAGGCGGGUCUCUGGGCCGUAACUGACGCUGAGGAGCGAAAGCGUGGGGAGCGAACAGG
rnacentral:rRNA from 1 species